rnacentral:rRNA from 2 species
AGUGAUGAUGGCAAAGAGGCCACACCCGUUCCCAUCCCGAACACGGAAGUUAAGCUCUUUUGCGCCGAUGGUAGUUGGGGGUCUCCCCCUGUGAGAGUAGGACGUCGCUG